UACGAUUUUCAUAUUACUCGCUUAUUGGUUUUUAUCGCCUUUGGUUUUCUCUGCAGAUUAGGGUUCUUCGCUUCUUUGGUUUGAUCGGUUAUUUGUGUUUGUCGUUUCCAUUAUUUAGGUUAUUAUUAUUAUUCGCCGUCGAUAUGAAUUCAAUCAUCGGAGAUUAUCUGCCGUAUGUUUUUUCCUCUUCCGCGAUUCCGCCUGAUUGUGAAUCUUAUUCGAUUUUGUUUGGAUUUUUUUGCCGGUCUAACAGUCGAAUCUUCUUGGAUCCUCCGAUGAAAGUUUUUUCCUCUUUGCGGAACCGUCCGAUUGUGAUUCCGGUUUGAUUUUUCUUUCGGUGAUUUUGAUCCGGCGAGGUAAUUAGGUAUGGUGUCCGGUUUAUGCAUCAAUACGUGGAUUAUUAUCCUGCGUUUGUGUUUGCGUUUGGAUUUUGUUUCUCUUGCUAGGGUUUCGCAAUCAGCUGAUUUGAAUUUUUUUGAGGAACCUGGUUAAAAUACGAUUCUUUGUAGAAGAAAGCGCUUCAGAUCUGAGUAUGUUCUCCCCCUUGUCGUAAUUGUGCUUAUAUAACGAUUGUGGUGUUCUGUUCUUCUGGCAAGGUUGGUUUCCGAAUAAGGUGUUUUGGCUGAUUCUAAGCAGAGUUUCUGGUACAAGUAUCUUCCUUUUGAUCUUCUUAUACGAGUGUUCACAACCUAUUUUUCUCGUCUGAAGAAUCUUCUACCUCUUCUGCUGAUUAAAAUUUGAUUCUCCUUUUGAUAUAUGUGCAUUCUCGACGCUGGUUUUCGACUGUGUUGAUCCGCAGGUGCGGUAAUAAAGUAGGACUGUCUGCCCUGAGAUCCCCGUCACCUCCGGAAAUUGUUCAAUCUUUUGUUCCCUCCCUCGUCCUCCUCACCUCUCUAAUUUUUAGAUCAUAAUUCUUUUGUUUUUUAAUAUCUAAUUUUUCAGAUACUGUACUGCUUUUCCUUCUUGUUUGCAGAAAUUUGCAUCAAAUAUUGUGGUGGUCGUCCUACUAUUUGGUACUUUCUGGUUUUGUGGUUUUAGGAAGGUCGUGCUUGUUUCGUCUUUAUUUUCUGAAGCUACUAACUGUGCAACUAGGACGAUGUAUCUGUUACGUUGAAUCUGAUUGGAUAGGAGCUUAUGAACUUGCAUACCGUGGAUAGGAUCACCAGUCUUAAUCUAGAGAUUUCAGUUGGAUCUGAUAAUGGGGAAGAUUAUAUAUAUUUUGUGAUUUAUUUGGCUUAUGGAUCUUUCUUUUGAUUCUGAUUAUGUAAUAUGUUGAUCAGUGGGUGCUAGGAGAGUCUACGCUGAGAUGUGACUUUGUCAGUUCCAGAUAUUUCUGAUGCCAAUUUGUAUUUUCUCAUGUAAUCAUUAUCCUGACUAAUUCAGUUUUCAGAUUUUUACUUUAUUUGACCACAUAUUUUCAAGUCUUAUUUCAGAUUCCCUGUUUUUCUUUUGGUGAGUUUGAUGGCAUGGUAUGAUGUUUGUAUAUGUAAUAUGUUGUCUAUUUUCCAGUGGUUUGGGUUCCGAUUGUGUUUUCUCUUGUCCGGGUCAGAUGGUAGAAGAAAAUGCUUCAAGUUCAAGUGUGUUCGCCUUAUCGUGAUUUUGCUUAUAUGACAGUUUCGUUUGAAGUUCUAAGAAGUUUGGUUACCACAUGAGGUGUUUAGCUAAGGCAAAUCAGAGUACCUGGUACAUUUUUUUACUGUAAAAGAGUCUCUACCUGAUAAAUCGUACUCUCGUUUGGAGUAUCUUCUCUUCUUUCUGCUGUAUUAACAACAACAACAAAGUGCAAUAUGCUAUUCUCGACUUUUGGCUUAGACUGUGUUGAUCAACAGGUGGUGAUGAAAUAGGUGGCUGAGAUGUGACUUGUCAGAUACAGAUAUUGAUCUUUUUUAUGCUAGGUUUAUAUUAACAUUGUGCCUCUUUGUAAUUAUCCUUAUCACCCAUAUUCUAGAUUUGUAUGAACUUUAAAAUUUGUCAUCAUAUCCCUGCUCUGCUUUUCCUCUCAAUUUGCAGAAAGUUGCGAUAAAAUUUUUGGUGGAUGUCCUUCCAUUCGGUAUCUUUUGUUUUGUGUAUUUUAGGGGGUCUGGCAGUUCUUUAUUUUCUUAAUAAUAAAUUUCUAGAGCUUAUGGAUCUGGGUUGGAGCUUAUGUUAUCUCGGUCCUUUGGACAGGGUCACCCAUUGCUUCAACAAAAGAUGGAUUAGUGCAGUUGGAUCUGAGAUUUGGAGUUUUAUUAACUGACGACAUAAUGGGGAAGAUAAUUUAAUUUCUGAUUUAUUUAUCUCAUGGAAAUUUUCUUGCAUCUGGUUGCAAAGAUGUGUUGAUCUUCAGGUGCUGGCUUAGUGAGUUUUCUCCGAGAUGCGUCGCCAGUGUUUCAAGAAUAGUAUUUUCUUAUGUCCCCUCAACCAUACCUCCUCUUAGUCCAAUUUUCAGAUUAUUACUUUAUACAGCCAUAUUGUUUGCAAAUCUAUCUUCAAAUCCUCUGUUCUUCUUUUCCUUUCUAUUUGCAGACAUUUGCAACAAAAAUGAUGGAUCCUUCUGUUUUGAGGUUUAAAAGGAAGUUUUGCCAAGUUCCUUCUUAAUUUUUUAAAACCGACUCUGCAACUGGAUUAGUAAAUUUGAAUUUUACAGUGCUUAUGUACCCUUGGGACAGGAUAGGAUCACCUAAUGGAGUCGGAUAAACUGGAUAUUCCAUUUCUUUUGCUCAUUGCAUGCAGUUGGAUAUGGGGUUUGUAACGUGAUCGAACAUCAAUGCAGUUGGGCCUGGGGUUUAGAGUCUUGUCUUAAAAGCUGCUUAUGGAUCGUGAGAUAAUGGGGAAGAUAAAUCUAAUUUUGCGAUCUAAAUCUCUUAUUUUGUGUUAAUACCCUCUCCAUACCUGGGUUGUUUUAUUCUGUCUUGUCGGUUAAAUGCAGUUGGAUUGGAGGUUUACAGUCGUAUCUUAAAGCUAUGGGAACAAGAAAUAACGGGGAAGAUAAUCUAAUUUGUGGUUUAUUUAUUUUAUAAGCUAAUACAGCCCUCUCCACCUGGAUUUUCUAUUCUCUAUUGUCUAUGACAUGCAGUUAGUUAAUGGUUUGGAGUCUGUCUGAAGCCACCGAUGGGACAAAGAGAUAACGUGGAAGAUAACUAAUUUUUUGGUUUGCUUAUUUCAUAGGAGUUCUAUUACUUGUCUGCUAAUUUCCCCUCCCUACCUGGAUGUUUCGUUGUCUUGUCAAUUGAUUGCAGUUGGAUCCAAGUUUAGUAUCCUACCUUAAAAGCUAUUGUUGGCAUCGCGACAUAAUGGGGAAGAUGAUAUAAUUUUUUAUUUAGUUGUUUCCUAGGAAUUUUAUCACCCUUUUGUGUAUUAAUGCCCCUUAUUAUGUAGAUAUUUUACUUCGUCUUGUCUGGUAAAUGCAGUGGUAAAUGCUGUUGGAUCUGAGGUUUAUAGUUUUAUCUUAAAAGCUGCUGAUGGGAACGAGACAUAAUGGGGAAGAUAAUAUAAUUUGUCAUCUAUUUAUUUCAAAGGCUGCCAAUGCCUUAUUUUGUGCUGAUACCCCUUUACGACAUGGAUGAUUUACUUCUGUUUUAUCGGUUAAAUGCAGUUUGGAUUGGAGGUUUAGAGUCGUGUCUUAAAGCUAUGGGACUGAAAAUUAACGGGGAAGACUAUCUUAUUUGUGAUUUAUUUAAUUUAUUGGACUUAUUCUGUGCUAAUUGACUCUCCGCCUAGAUAUAUUGUUCUGCCUUGUCUUUUAAAUGCAGUCGAAUGUGAGGUUCGGUCUUAUCUAAAGAUACUGAUGGGUCUGGGACAUAAUGGGGAAGAAAGAUCUCAUAUAUGAAUUAUUUAUUUCAUAGGAAUUAUUUUCCUUUUUUUUCUGUUCUAAUAAUACCCUCCCUGCCUGAUUGUUCCAUUUUGUCUUGUCCAUUGCAUGCAGUUGAAUGUGAGGUUUAUUGUCUUAUCUUAAAGCUACUGGUUGAGAUCGAUACAUAAUUGGGAAGAUAAUCUAAUUUAUAAUUUAUUUAAUUCAUAGAACUUUUUUAUUCCCGUAGUAUGUGCUUAUAUGCCUCUCCACCUGGAUGUUCUGCAGUUGGAUUUUAGGUUUAGAGUUUAAUCUGAAGCCAGUAAUGAGACGAAGAGAUAACGGGGAAGAUAACUAAUUUGUGAUUUGUUUAUUUCAUCGGACUUCUAUUCCGUCUUGUUUGCUUAUUCCCCCUCCCCCUACAUUUAUAUUUCAUUGUCUUGUCCAUUGCUUGCAGUUGUUCUGAUAGUGUCUUAACUUAAAGCUAUUGCUGGGAUCGAGACAUAUUGGGGAAGAUGAUCUAAUUUGUGGUUUAUUUGUUUCAUAUGAAUUCCAUCAACCUUUUUGUGUGCUAAUACCCCUCACUGUCUUGAUGUUUUAUAUCGUCUUGUCUGGUAAAUGCAGUUGGAUAUGAGGUUUAGAGUCUUGUUUUAAAAGCUGCUAAUGGGAUGGAUCCUUAAUGGGGAAGAAAUUAUAAUUUGUCAUCUAAUUUUAUUCGACUGUCAGUACUACGUGGACGAUUUAUUCUGUUUUAUUGGUUAAAUGCAGUUGGAUUUGCAGAGGUUUAGAGUCGUAAAACUAUGGGAUCGAGAAAAAAGGGGGAAGAUAACCUAAUUUGUGAUUUAUUUAUUCUGUGCUAAUCGUCAGCAUCUGGAUGUUUUAUUUUGUCUUGUUCAAUACAUGCAGUUGAAUUUGAUGGUUAGAGUCUUAUCUUAAAGCUACUGGUGGGGUCGAUACAUAAUGGGGAAGAAUAUCUAAUUUAUGAUUCAUUUAUUCCGUCGGAUUUUUAUUCCUUCUUGUUUGCUAAUUUCCCCUCCUUCCUGGAGAUUGUUUUGUCCAGCAUGCAGUUUGGUAUGGUGUUUCAAGUGUUACCUUAAAGCUAUUAAUGGGAUUCAACCAUAAUGGGGAAGAUGAUAUAGCUUGUGAAUUUAUUUAUUUCAUAGGUGGUGUUCUAUUAUCUUAUGUUUUAUUUCGUCAUGUCUGAUAAAUGCAGUUGGAUCGGAGGUUGAGAGUCUUAUCACUAAAGCUGCUGAUGGGGUUGAGACAUAAUGGGGAAGAUAAUAUAAUUUGUCAUCUCUUAUUUUGCAUUAAUACCCCUUUUGGACGUGGAUGUUUUAUUCUGUUUUAUGGGUUAAAUGCAGUUGGAUUGGAGGUUUAGAGUCAUAUCUUAGAGCUACGGGUCCGAAAAUUAACGGGGAAGAUAAUUUAAUUUGUGAUUUGUUUAAUUCCCUUUUCUGUGCUAAUAUCCCCUCCCCAACUAGAUGUGCAUUCUGUCUUGACAUUGCAUGCAGUUGAAUUUGAGAUAUAAAGUCUUAUCUUGAAGCUAUUGGCGGGGUACAUAUGUAAUAAGGAAGAUAAUCUAAAGACAUAAUGGGGAAGAUUACUAAUUUAUGAUUUAUUUAUUUCGUUUGUUUGCUAAUUCCCCCUCCCGAUCCGGAUAUUUCAUUAUCGUGUCCGUGAUUUGUUUAAUUCCCUUUUCUGUGCUAAUAUCCCCUCCCCAACUAGAUGUGCAUUCUGUCUUGACAUUGCAUGCAGUUGAAUUUGAGAUGUAAAGUCUUAUCUUGAAGCUAUUGGCGGGGUACAUAUGUAAUAAGGAAGAUAAUCUAAAGACAUAAUGGGGAAGAUUACUAAUUUGUGAUUUAUUUAUUUCGUUUGUUUGCUAAUUCCCCCUCCCGAUCCGGAUAUUUCAUUAUCGUGUCCGUGAUUUGUUUAAUUCCCUUUUCUGUGCUAAUAUCCCCUCCCCAACUAGAUGUGCAUUCUGUCUUGACAUUGCAUGCAGUUGAAUUUGAGAUAUAAAGUCUUAUCUUGAAGCUAUUGGCGGGGUACAUAUGUAAUAAGGAAGAUAAUCUAAAGACAUAAUGGGGAAGAUUACUAAUUUGUGAUUUAUUUAUUUCGUUUGUUUGCUAAUUCCCCCUCCCGAUCCGGAUAUUUCAUUAUCGUGUCCGUUGCUUGCAGUUGGAUCUGAGUUUAGUGUCUUACCUUAAAGCUAUUGUUGGGAUCGAGACAUGAUGGGGAAGAUCUAAUUUGUGAUUAUUUGUUUCCUAGUAAUUCCGUUACCUUUUUUGUCUGCUAAUACCCCUCACCACGUACAUGUUUUAUUUUGUCUUGUCUGGUAAAUGCAGUUGGACCUCAGGUUUAGAGUUUUAUCUUAAAAGCUGCUGAUAGGAUCGAGAUAUAAUGGGGGAAGAUAAUAUUCUGUGAUCUAUUUGUUCCAUAGUACUGCCAUUUUCAUAAUGUGUUCUAAUAUCCCAUACUACGUGAAUGUUGACUGGAUUUUUUUAUUCUGACUUGUUCGUUUGCAGUUCGAUCUGAGGUUUUUGAGAGUCUUAUUGGAAGUUACUGUUGGGUCGGGAAAUAAUGGGGAAGAUCUAGUUGAUUAUUUAUUUACUUCAUAGGACUUUCUUUUACCUUCUGUGGUAAUUUACAUCUGUUUCAUUUUGUCUUUGUACACAGUUGGAUUUGAGGUUGAGAGUCAUAACAUAAAGCUACAUAAUGGGGAAGAUGAUAUAUUUUGUGAUUUGCUUAUUUCAUAGUAUAUUUCUAUUACCUUGAGUGCUAAUAUCCUUCAGCACUUAGAUGUUUUUUCUCUAUCUUGUCUAUUAAAUGCAGUUGGAUCUGAGGUUAAAGUCUUGUCUAAAGCCACUAAUGGGAUCAAGGCACAACGGGGAAGAUAACUAAAUUUUGAUAUAUUUAUUUCCUAGGACUUACUAUUCCUUUGUGUGCUACUUCCCUCCUUCCUACCUCGAUGUUCCAUUUUGUCUAGUGCUUUCUGAUCUGUCAUUGAUUUCUAUUCUCUGCUUGAAACAAACGUGGGUUUGCUUACCGUUUGCAUUUGAAUGCUUGUAGCGUAAUUAAACUCAUCCAGGUUUAGGCAAUCUAUACUUCCUUUCUUAUGUGUUUCGGGUUACUAUGGUUUGUGGUUAUGGAACUUGCUCGCUGUUUUUGCAGAACCAUUGGGAGUGGUAAAAUAGUCUGAAGUUGGACUGUAUGAUCAAGGAUAAGGAUCUUUGCUUAAUGUGGUUUGUGUUCCAUAGCUUUCGGAUUUGGCAUAUUCAGGUUCCACAAGUCUGUUAUCCUUCUUCGCCAAUGAGUUCGAUUUCUAUGUUCUUCCGGUUUUUGGGCUUGCUCGCCAUUGAUUAUUUGUCUUCUGGAUUUCUCUGUUCAUCAUCUCUUCAUUAACCUGCAUAUUUUGUGAAGGUGAAAAUUCUGCUUCUGUUGUACUGUUGGGCCUUUCAGGUUAUGGUCUUAGCUUGCUCGUCUUCUUUUCUGAGGUUGUGUGGCUUUGAUUUAAGAUGUUUCUUGACCACUUGCUGCAGAUUCUAAGUGUGGUAGUAUCCUAAACUAAAUCUCACCUUGGUUACUAUAUUCUUUGUGGUUUCGGUUAACAUUUUGAAGGACUCUAUAUGGCCUACUCAAGCACAGUGCUGUUUUUCAACCUUCUCUCUUUUCUCUCUCUCCCCCGCCAAUCUGUUUUUCAAUAACGUGGCUACGGUUUUGCAAGUAGAGAUGUCGUAACUGUAAGUAUAUCAAACAUGCUUUCUGGUUUUCGAAUGUUGAUGGCUGCAGUUGUAUUUUUAUCAAAGUUUCUUGUGGCUGGGUAAUAGAGGUAAGGGAAUUGAGUUUUGUACUACGUGAACCUUCUCUCCAUGUUCUCUAGUUUGUUUUGGUUGUAUAUUUGUUGUUCAGCAAGACAAUCCAUACGUUCGACUUCGUCUUCCUAGUACCUCCUAGAGCUCCAGAUUGCUGAGGUCACGGUGUUAUGCUGGUUUCUCAAUUUUCUUAGCAGGAAUUAUAAGUCUUCAGUUAUCCCUAUCGUGAUCUCAUAUUAUACAGUAAUUUUCACGAGGCAAGUUAAGAAGAUAAAAUAAAACUGUCUCCAUCUGUCACUUCAUGAUUGGUAUUCUUUGGUUUCUUCACGGGCUUCCUGCACAGAGUAUUAUUUCUUGUCUUAGAUUUUGAAAGCCGUCUUAAGAGUGUCCGGAUGUUAUUUCAGUUUUUCUGGUAUUCUGCACCGGAAUUGUUUGUGCUUAGUUUUGAUCAGUUAAUGCACUACUGGUGUGGAACGUGCUUCUUCUGCAGAUCAAGUGAGUAGUAUUCUUUAUUGUGGCUUGAGAUCUCUUCGGUUUUGAUCCAUGUUUUUCAAAUAUUGAAGUGGUCUUCUAUUCAUGAGCAAGUUAAGGUUCAUGUGUGUUAUGCAUCUAUGAAGAUUUGGUUUUUUCCCUUUCGGUUUCUCUGCACAAUCUAAGUUGGCGCAGUCAAUCUCAGAAUAAUAAAUCUUGUUCAGUUGCGCCAUGUUGGAUUUCACACAUGUAGGAUUUGUUGAUGUUAUUGCUGCUACUACUGUUUUUUUGAGGAUGUUAAAAUCUAUCGAAUCUGCAUGGGGUAUACUACUGCACAGUUCUUGGUCAGUUCUUCAUCGUAAUUUGUACUCUGGGAAUUUUCUAGUGCGUGAAAUUGUCUUCUGCAGAUUGUAAGUUAAUGUUUUUGUCUAACACUAGUAAUAUGCUAAAGUGAUGCAUUUGUGAAUUCUCAAUGAAUUUAUUUGAUUAAGAUUUGUUUUUACGUAAAUGUGCAAGUAUCAGAUAUCUUAUUGAUAAAAGUUAUUUCCUCUUGGAUUCUACUCUGGUACGACUUUAGUAUUCUUUUCACACGAUAAUUUAAAGGAAAAAAAAGGAAAAUGAAUGAUUGGAACAAGUAGGAGGGUUUUUACUAGUAAAAUUGUUAUAUGCUUUUAUCCCAUCUACUAUACUUCGUGAUUUUAGCUACUAAGAGAUUAGUGGGAUGCCCUAUUUGUUAAUUUACUUAAAAGAUUGACCUACUUGUUUGCCAGUAUGAAGACUCUAUGUGCAUCAAACUAUUUUUCAGCCUUGAACUAUUUCUCAGCCUUAAUAUUAUCAAACUAUUUCUCAGCCUUAAUAUUUGUUGUCUGGAAUGGUACGUACAGGUUUCUUGCUUCAAUCUGUCUGUGAUUAUGUGAAUUAUGUGUGUGUUUAGUUGUAUAUAGGUUAAUUCUUGUAACUCCGCCUGUGCGGCAAUAUUUGCUCAGCACAGCCGGUCCCAAGCCCGGGUAAAGGAGGAGGGUCGAGAAAAUGGAACAGUCAAAUAUUAAUAAAAAUGGUUUUGAAGUAUUGCAAAUUCACUCUUCGAAGUUAUCUGGUGAAAGUGCAAUACGAUAAGAAUAGAAACAGUAGUUGACAUUGACAUUGAUAAACUGGAAGCCAAAUAAUCUUGGCGAAUUGCGUUCCUCUUAACUCUUUCUUUGCUGUUGUUUUGCUUGUUGGUUUCUAUCUUCGGUUGCUUAUUUUCCCAAACUUUUUAUUUACUGUAUUUUUGGUUUGGCCAUCAAUUAUCCCUAUCGUGAACUUCUCGAUACCAGGAUUGCGGGAACAGUUUUAGUACCUUAAUGUUUGGGUUUCUUAUCAAAAGGUUCCUGCACAGAGUGUUGAUUAGUACCUAAGUUUACGAAAGGAGUAGCAAAACACUUGGGAUGUUUUUUGAAAUGUUUUUUCCAAUUAUUUUUCACUUGAUUUCUUUUGAGCUUGUAGUUGGUCAGAUAACGCGUGCAUUUCUACUGCAGAUCAAGUGAGUAGUAUGCUUUAUUGUGGGCUCUCGAUGAUUUCGUGUAUACUUUGAAGAACUGGGUAUAUUUAGAUUUUGUUGAUCUUGUGAUUUCGGCCUUUGGAUUCUGCUUGCAUCUUGUGGGCUCUCGAUGAUUUCGGCCUUUGGAUUCUGCUUGCAUCUUGUGAUCGUUAUUAUCAUACGGUGUGGUGCUGCCAUGAGUGUUUGUGCUUUGGAGUACGAUCCUGGACUGUUACUGGUCAGUUCUGGGGUCCGUGGGAAGUUUCUAAUACAUAAAAUUUUCGAGUCUUGAUAAAUUUAUUGGAUUAAGAUUUGUUUCUGCCCAAAUGUAAGUGCAAGAUUUGAUAAAUAAAAAAAUUUGCUCUGGAAUUA